rnacentral:rRNA from 1 species
UACGUAGGGUGCAAGCGUUGUCCGGAAUUAUUGGGCGUAAAGAGCUCGUAGGCGGUUUGUCGCGUCUGCUGUGAAAACCUAGGGCUUAACCCUGGGCCUGCAGUGGGUACGGGCAGACUAGAGUGCGGUAGGGGAGAAUGGAAUUCCCGGUGUAGCGGUGAAAUGCGCAGAUAUCAGGAGGAACACCGGUGGCGAAGGCGGGUCUCUGGGCAACAACUGACGCUGAGGUGCGAAAGCGUGGGGAGCAAACAGG